GGUGACUUGCCGACCACAGAACGCUGUGGAAGGGACAUUCUGGGGCUUCCCAUCUCCAACAUAAGAAGGACUUGCUUCUGUGAGGUACUGAGCCACCCGUCCCUGGAGGAAAGCAAGAACAGAGCAGAUCAGAGCCCAGGCAGACAUCUUGGAUGAUGGGGUACAUCUUGCCAUCCAGAGGCAAUGCUGGAGCGGGCAGUUGUCUGCGGGGAGGCCCUGGCUCACUCUGGGCCAAAUAACAGGACUGAUUGCAGCCUGCGAUGAAACAUCCUGUUUCUCCCAACCAGAAACAGGUAGAGGAGCUGCUUUAGGAUGGAAGAUGAGGCUUGCUUUUUCUUUCUCCUAGAAGUCAGCAUUUUACAUGAUUCUGGGAGGGAAGAAAGGAGACAGGAACCAAGGAGCCUGAGUGGGGAUUUGCCCACCACUGGGCAGCCAGGCUCCCGUCAGGAAGGCUUUUCAGAGGGAGUGUUGGAAGGAGUCGUCGAGGAGUCUUCCUCACCCAGGAAGUCUUCCUCACCGGGUGAGCCCCAACCUGCUGGACCUGCUCAGAAUUUGCCCAACAGGGGAUCCUGGUUGACUGAGGUCUGCUAAUUCCAACUGGCCUACGCUAAAUUCUCCCAGAAUGUCUUCAUCAUCAAUGAAUCGCUUUCCACUGACACGACGCCUGGAAGAACAUAAACACUGUGAGGAUAAAUGCCAAUGAAAUAAUAAUAAAAUAAACUUUCUUU
rnacentral:lncRNA from 1 species